GAACUGCAUGCUGUACAAGUGUUAGUCGGAUAUAAGGGCAUAAUCGAUUGCUGGAAAUUGAAAUGGAUCCUAGACAUGCUGGAGAAUUGUUGAGGCACUUGGAGAAGCAGAAUGAGCAGCUUAUGGAGGUUUACAGAUCAAUGUUUAAUGAAAUACAAAAGUUGCAGGUAGAAGAAGAGAUGAUGAUGCGCAAAUCUUAUGAAUUCAUGAAAGCUCGGGAAUCAAAUAAAAAUGUGGGUUCUUCCAAAGAGCCCAAAUCAUCCAAGUAAUUUAUGGUUUAGAUUGUCACCACCCAAGAUCAUACCAGCAACAAAUAAGAAGGCAGUGCAUGGGUUCUUCUUCGCUUCACCAAGUUAACCGAAAAUAGAUGUAAUGUUUUGUUUGUUGAAAUUUUGAGAAACAUAUUCAUAAAGAUCCAUAAUUUUUGUAUCUAGUUGUUUCUUGGUUGAAGCACAUUUUAAUAUCACCAAAUCAAUGACAAUUAUCAAAAGAAACAUUGCAUAAUUUUGAUAGUAAUUAUUGAAGAACUAAAUUCCUCUUU